AAGAAAAAAAAUGGAAAUUAAGUGUAAAUAUAAAUAUAUAUAUUUAUAUAUUAAAUAGUUUUAUUAAAUUAAUUAAAGAAAAGAAAGAAAAGAAAGGACAAAAAGAAGAAAAGGAGAAGAAAAUUUCAUUUUCUCUUUUCUUCUUCUUCUUCUCUUCCCUUCACCGCCAAGUUUGAAGACAUCCAAGUUCCCUUUAUUUUUUUGUUCUUUUUCCUUCUUCAAUUUGCAGAGAACUUCUAAGAGAGAGUUUGGAAGAAGAAGAGAAAUUUUACUAGAAUUUUUUAGGUUGAAGAAGAGGAGGAGAACUCAAGCAAAGUGUAUCAAUGGCUGAAUUUUAGUUCAUUCUGCACAUCACUGGUUUUUAAUUCGGUUUGAACUCUUCAAAAGGAAUUAAGAGGGCAGUUGGUUUUCACUCGAAAUCAGGAGGUCUCUGGUUUUUCUUGUAUUUCAGAGUGUAUCGGUGGAGUUAGAAUUUCUAUUUGAUAUGGUUGGAAAGCUUAUUCAAUUUACUACAACUUUCAUGAAGAAAUUGUAAACCAAAAACGAAUAAAAAUUGGUUAAAUUGUAGAAACAAGUUAAAGAGGUCGUGUGCGCGCGAUUCUAGAAGUGGUUCUGUUUUUAGGGUUAUAUGUGUUUAUGCACGGGGAAUCAGAUUUAUAUGUCUUCAGGCCGAGAAGAAUUAAACCGAGCUUAUAGACCAAGGAUCUAGCCCAAGACUGUGAGUGAUAAAACCAACUUUGAAAUAUUUUCCAUAAUUGUUAUUAUGAUUGAAUGCGAUAAAUGUUUAUUUACGAAGCCAUGAAAGGUAUUUGAAUUUCAUGACUAUUUUCAAGUAUACAUUUGGAGACUAGAUUUCUUAAAGAAAUUUAUGCUAGCACGUAGAUAUUAAAUGUUUGGAAAGUAUUUAAACCACAAUAUUUUAAGCAAAGCAUGAAUUAGUAUGAAGUUUUGUUUUAAGAACUACAAUUUUCCACGAAAGAGCUGAGUAAAGUUCUAGCUUUGUGUAAAAUUUAUAAGCAGGCAUGUUUUAAUAUUUUAUGAUGAUUUAUGAAAUUUUCAUUAACUACAUGACUGAGAUCUUGAGCCUGAGGCUAGAGAUUACCGUGUGCACACUGGUUAGAUUUCGUUGUUGACGUUGAGUGUACUCCGUAACAACGAUGCUGUCGUGAGUGCUGGGCGGGCCCCACUACGACAAAGACGAUGGGAGUGCUGGGCGGGCCCCACUACAUCGUAGUGCUUGUAAACGUUGUUGUACUAGGUGUACCCUACACAACGUAGAUUCGUCAUGUUAGUUAAAAUGCUUCGAUAUACUUGAUAUGCCUUGCUAGAUUUCAAUGAUGAACAUGCUGAGUAUUUAAGGAAGCUAUUCUUACUAUUACACAUUUACAUUUACGACUUGUAUAAACAGAUUUAUAUGUGUAAAGUUUUCACGUGCUCUUAUCUUUAAAUUCAUAGUUUUAAACUGAGUCACUCACUGAGCUCCAUAGCUCACCCUUUCCAAAAUGUUUUACCCAUUUUCCAGGUAGAGAUCGACUUCCCGGUGCCUGAUAGACUGCCUUAGUCUGUGGAAGCUUCAUUAUCGAUUGCCAGUACGUGUUUUGAGUUGGGCAUAAAGUCUGUUGUGUUGUGAUGUAUUCACACCCUUGUAUGUUAUAGAUACUCCACAGUUUGUAUAAGCUUUAGGAGCUGUAGUUGUGUAAAUUUUGUUGGUUAUAUUUUGAUUAAGGUGUCUUUAGGUUUACUCGUGAAAUUGGUAAAUUUUGAGGUACACUUCAUGUA